ACGCUCGACACCUACGGGGCAGCAGUGGGGAAUAUUGCACAAUGGGGGAAACCCUGAUGCAGCGACGCCGCGUGGAGGAAGAAGGUCUUCGGAUUGUAAACUCCUGUUGUUGGGGAAAAAGAGGAUGGUACCCAACAAGGAAGUGACGGCUAACUACGUGCCACAGCCGCGGUAAUCUGAGCGGGCUGGCAAGGC
rnacentral:rRNA from 1 species